rnacentral:rRNA from 1 species
UACGUAGGGUGCGAGCGUUGUCCGGAAUUACUGGGCGUAAAGAGCUCGUAGGUGGUUUGUCGCGUUGUUCGUGAAAACCGGGGGCUUAACCCUCGGCGUGCGGGCGAUACGGGCAGACUUGAGUACUGCAGGGGAGACUGGAAUUCCUGGUGUAGCGGUGGAAUGCGCAGAUAUCAGGAGGAACACCGGUGGCGAAGGCGGGUCUCUGGGCAGUAACUGACGCUGAGGAGCGAAAGCGUGGGGAGCGAACAGGAUUAG